AGUGAGCGCUGGCGGUAGGCCUAACACAUGCAAGUCGAACGGCAGCACAGUAAGAGCUUGCUCUUACGGGUGGCGAGUGGCGGACGGGUGAGGAAUACAUCGGAAUCUACUUUUUCGUGGGGGAUAACGUAGGGAAACUUACGCUAAUACCGCAUACGACCUACGGGUGAAAGCAGGGGAUCUUCGGACCUUGCGCGAUUGAAUGAGCCGAUGUCGGAUUAGCUAGUUGGCGGGGUAAAGGCCCACCAAGGCGACGAUCCGUAGCUGGUCUGAGAGGAUGAUCAGCCACACUGGAACUGAGACACGGUCCAGACUCCUACGGGAGGCAGCAGUGGGGAAUAUUGGACAAUGGGCGCAAGCCUGAUCCUGCCAUACCGCGUGGGUGAAGAAGGCCUUCGGGUUGUAAAGCCCUUUUGUUGGGAAAGAAAAGCAGCAGGUUAAUACCCCGCUGUUCUGACGGUACCCAAAGAAUAAGCACCGGCUAACUUCGUG
rnacentral:rRNA from 1 species